rnacentral:rRNA from 1 species
UUCCGGUUGAUCCCGCCGGACCUGACUGCUAUCGGAUUGAUACUAAGCCAUGCGAGUCUUUGUAGUAAUACAAGGCAGACGGCUCAGUAACACGUAGUCAACCUACCCUAUGGACGAGAAUAAUCUCGGGAAACUGAGCAUAAUUCUCGAUAGAUCAUAAUGCCUGGAAUGGUUUAUGGUUAAAAUGAUUCGUCGCCAUAGGAUGGGACUGCGGCCUAUCAGCUUGUUGGUGAGGUAAUGGCCCACCAAGGCGAUUACAGGUACGGGCUCUGAGAGGAGAAGCCCGGAGAUGGGUACUGAGACACGGACCCAGGCCCUAUGGGGCGCAGCAGGCGAGAAAACUUUGCAAUGUGCGAAAGCACGACAAGGUUAAUCCGAGUGAUUUCUGCUAAAGAAAUCUUUUGCCAGUCAUAAAACCACUGGUGAAUAAGGGGUGGGCAAGUUCUGGUGUCAGCCGCCGCGGUAAAACCAGCACCUCAAGUGGUCAGGAUGAUUAUUGGGCCUAAAGCAUCCGUAGCCGGCUUUGUUAGUUUUCGGUUAAAUCCAUGUGCUCAACGCAUGGGCUGCCGAAAAUACUGCAUAGCUAGGGAGUGGGAGAGGUAGACGGUACUCAGUAGGAAGGGGUAAAAUCCUUUGAUCUAUUGAUGACCACCUGUGGCGAAGGCGGUCUACCAGAACACGUUCGACGGUGAGGGAUGAAAGCUGGGGGAGCAAACCGGAUUAGAUACCCGGGUAGUCCCAGCUGUAAACGAUGCAGACUCGAUGAUGCAUUGGCAUAAUAGCCAAUGCAGUGUCGCAGGGAAGCCGUUAAGUCUGCCGCCUGGGAAGUACGUACGCAAGUAUGAAACUUAAAGGAAUUGGCGGGGGAGCACCACAAGGGGUGAAGCCUGCGGUUCAAUUGGAUUCAACGCCGG